rnacentral:lncRNA from 1 species
UAUAUCAAAGUAUAUGAGUUACAAAUACAUAGUUCAUUAUCCACUCAGGAUUAAUGUAUGUCACAUUAUGAACGUCACAAGUGAAUAAAUCCAUAAACGAAUAUAGGAUAAAUUCUACUUGGGUCUUGUCUGAUGUAUUGUCUAUCCAAACAACGACAUCUAUGUCUCUGUCUUCUGGGAGUCAUCCACUCCGAUGCCCAAGAUAAUGCAUCUUCCUAAUUGGACUUGAUAAACUACAUCAUAGUCUUUCAAUCGAUUUGCUCAAUUUCGAUUAGAUUACUGGCUAUUAAGAUUAUCUACUAAUAUAAGUUGUCUUAUCGCAUUAUGAUCCUACCACAUAAUGCAACUUAAUAUUAGUUAAACAUUAAAUGAUAAUCAAUGUGCCAAUAUUUGCUUACAUUUUGCUUUUCAUACAAAAAUUGUUAAGGACAUAUGCAAAUGAUAGUAAUGUAUAAUGGAAUUUUAUUUAAACCAAUCUGUUUUAAAUAUUACAAACAUAAAUUGACGAAUAUACUACACUUAGGGCACUAGAUCCUAACAAUUCCCCAAAUUUGCUCCCUUCCAAUAUGCAAAUAUUUUUUGUGAUACUUAUCAGUGUUCUUUCUAUCUUCUAGAAUUUUUUGGACCAUCUUAAACUAAUGAAAUACCCAAUCACACCGAUGCCACUAAAUGCAAGAGAAGCGUAUAAAUGUGUACACAUUAAAAACAUCAUUAUGAACAUCUGUGUCCAUUGGUAGUAUGAUAAUAAUCUCUUCCACCUGGUAUGACAUCCGUACAAACUGCAAAAUUAAUAAAAUAAUUGCAUUUUAAUUCAAUUGUGAUAUUAAGUAUAUCAUUAUAAUACACAAUUUAUAAAAUUAUUUAAUUCAACAUCAAUAGAUGCUCAUAUUGCUACUGUAUUAUCCUUCUAGUAAGUUGUAUGAUCAUAACGCUUGGACCACCUGUUAAAAUAUCAAAUGUUAGUACCAAUAUAAAAAUGUUUAGAAUGUAAUAUAUUUUAUAACACAUGCUUUUAAUUUUACCAUAUUGCAAGAGGGAAUAUGAGAUUAUUAGAGGGGAUAAAUACUAUCCAUGGAAGUCUAUACCAUCCACACAAUUAUGAAAUCAUAAGACAACCAUUUCUUUCAUUAUUCUCCACUUAGCAUGCCUUACAUAUCAUUUUCGUAUAGGUAUGCCAAAAACAUAAAAUUCUAAUUGUAUAGUCCAGUUGUAUGCUUCAAAAUUAGAUAACAAUUAGAAAUACACAAAUGAACUAAGUUGCUAAACUUUUCAGGCAUUAGCACACCUCCAAUCAACUGAAGAAUGUAAGCUCUAGCAUGAUGUUGAAUAUCUUUGAGUGUUGGAUUAUUUAAGAGAUGCUCAAAGCGACUCUUUAACCAUGUUAACUUAAUUUGCAAUCAAAUUUAUGGUUUAUACAUGUUCCCAACAUUGAACAAGGACCUCCACCAGAUUGUACUAAAAUAUUCUCAUUAUUAGAUGCCUAUCCACUAGAAGACUCGUUAGUAACACUAAACAUUAAGUGUUAUUGUUGGUUUUGCAUGAAGAUGAAACAUAUGGGUCUCAGGUCUUUAUUAUUCAAUUAAAUAAAAAAUGAAUGUUAGCACAAAAGUAAAAUUAUUAAUUUGAUGUGAUAGAAAUCAUAUUUUAAGUGAAAAAUGAUUUUGUCAUCUAAUGCAUUCAUCUCUACAUUACUAUGACACCAAGCCACUAGAAAAGACUCCAUUGUUGUAGCAUUUUAAGUAACAUAUCCUUCUUUUGAUCUCAAUAAGGGGGAAAUCAUUAUGGUAUGCUUCAAAAUUCGAAGUUACAAAUCUUGGGUAUAUAAGAUAGUAUAAAAUAUAGAUAGAGAAUAUUUUAGGUUUCUAUGAAAAUUAAACAAGUGGAAUGAAUUGUUUAUAGGUUUUAAGAUUAGAGCUUUUAAUAUGACCUCGAUAGCCAUUUAUGACGAGGUCUUGUUAAAUUUAUAAUUUUUUUAAAGUAAACUACACCAUUAGUUAAUAAACUAUGAGUAAGUUUUCGUUUUGGUCACAUAACUAAAAAAAGUUACAAUUUGGUCACUGAAGUAUUCAGAACUUUUCAUUUAAGUCAUUGGAUUGUUAAAAUCGAUGCUAUAUGUCUUUCUUUAUUUGCAUUGCCUAUAAUAAUCGAAAGCUUUCUUUCCUCUUCUCUUUUAAAGUUCAUUUUUUAUGAAAUAGCUUUGAACGUCACGAAUCUGCAAACCAAAAUUUAAAUAGCUUUUUUCUUUGAUCUCCGACACUGACCGUCAGAUCAACUUGGACCUAAGAUAUGUUCUUCUACUCGUCGAUGGGUACUGAUCCACUGUACUAGCCAUUGAAUUGCCGCUUGGAGCUCGCUGGCGAAAGGUUUUUUUUUUUAAAGAAAAAUUUAGCAGCCUAAUGACUUAAAUGAAAUCUUUCGAAUAGUUCAACAACUAAUGGUUUAAUGACCAAAAUGAAAACUUACCCAUAGUUCAGUGACUAAUGGUGUGGUUUACCUUGAGGUGUUCAUGGGUUGGAUUGGGUUCAGGCUAGGCUUAAGCAUGAUAUUAACACACUUUAUACUUGCUCAAGCUUGGUCUGGCCUGAUCAUGGGCCUAAAAUUUUGCCCAAGCCCACCCAUAUUUGGAAUUAGUUAACCCAAGCCCAUUUAGGCCCUUCCAUAUUUUUAAAAUAUUUAUUUAUUUUAAUUUAAUAUUUAAUAAUUAUAUACUUUUUUUUAUUUAUUAUAGUUUUAUAUAUAGUCAUCUUAAUUUUUUUUUGAUGUUUACAUUAUAGAAGUAUUAUAUAUUACUAUAUAUCUAAUUUUUAUGUGUUACAAAUUACAUAAUAUAUAAAAACAACAUAAUAUAAAAUAUUACAAACUUGAAAAACGGAUCGGGUUGAGCUUAGGCCUUAAAUGUUAAGCUCGAGCUAGACCCAUAUUUUAAACGAGCCUAAUUUUUUCUUAAACCCAUUUUUAGGUGUAAUAUUUUUACCCACACUAUCUCAAAAUUCUAGCAGAUUUUCAACUUUGGACAAGUUUAAGUUUAUUUAUUUUUCAACAAUUAUGAUUUACUUUUUUAAAAAUUUACAAAUACUUUAAUUUUUGUAAAUAUCAUCCUUUACAAAUAUAUAAAUGAUUACAAUUUAAAAUUUUAAAAAUAUUUAUUUUAAUACUUCUAUACCAAAUUCUUUAAAAGAAAUUCUAAGAAAACUAAACAAAUUACAAGAAAAGAUAAAAUAUGAUUGUAGAAAGAAAGCAUCUCCUGUGCUCAACCUCAUACAAACCAGUUCUGUUUUUACAGCAUCAUCAUUUAUUUUUAAUUUUGUCCGACUUUUGACUUUCACUCCAUCAGAAGUCAAAAUAAAGGAGUGAGCCCAAGAAAAGUAUUAUGAGGAUGCGAACAGCAUAUAGAAACUUAAUAGUGGAAGGCUAUUUUGUUCAAAGUGAAAGACGGGCAAAUAAAAAUAAUAAAGUCGAGAAAAAAGCCAAAAUGAAAUCCAAUUUUGAAGUCCGUCGUUCUGGACAUUUCCAAGAAGAUCAAAAACAGAACAAGAGCCUGAAAACUCUUUAGUAUUUCUCUACGGUUUCCCUCACCGUAACAACCCUGUGGCUGUUUUCUUUUCUUUAGUUUAGUUAGAUUUUGUUGAUGGGCCAAUCAGUUUCGGCGGCGAAGCUAAGGAACCGUCGAGAUUGGAACCAUCGCCAACGGUCAAAACCGAAAUCAACGGCUCUGAUCUGUCCGAUGCAAGCUGAGGAAACUGAAGAGCUUGAACGAAGUAACACAGAUGGAUCGUCGGAUUUCAUCUCGGAUCUUCCUGACGAGUGUUUGGCUUGUAUUUUUCAGUCUCUUAGCCCCGCUGACCGAAAACGAUGCUCUCUAGUUUGCCGGCGGUGGCUUCUGAUUGAGGGACAGAGCCGUCACCGAUUAUCUCUCAACGCACAAUCAGAUCUGCAACCUCUCAUUCCUUCUAUCUUCUCUCGCUUCGAUGCUGUUACGAAACUGGCUCUGAAAUGUGACCGUAGAUCCGUUAGCAUAGGCGACGAAGCGCUUGUUCUAAUCUCCGAGCGUUGCCGGAAUUUGUCUCGCCUUAAGCUCCGAGCUUGCCGUGACUUGACCGAUGCAGGAAUGUUGGCGUUCGCUAAAAACUGCAAGGGUCUAAAGAAGCUCUCCUGUGGUUCUUGCGCUUUCGGAGCCAAAGGCAUGAACGCUGUGCUCGACAAUUGUCCAGCACUCGAGGAACUCUCCGUGAAACGACUUCGUGGCAUCACAGACGGCGCUGCAGCUGAGCCGAUUGGGCCUGGGGUGGCUGCGGCGGCGUUGAAAACAAUUUGCUUAAAGGAGCUUUAUAAUGGGCAAUGUUUUGGUCCGCUUAUUAUUGGUUCAAAGAAUCUGAAAUCUUUGAAACUUUUUAGAUGCUCUGGCGAUUGGGAUAAGCUUUUCCCACUCAUAGUGGAACGGGUCGCGGGUAUGGUAGAGAUCCAUAUGGAGCGGAUCCAAGUCAGCGAUGUCGGUCUUGCGGCUAUCUCCAACUGUUCAAACCUAGAAAUUCUUCACCUCGUUAAGACUCCCGAGUGUACAAACGCCGGACUCGGAGCUGUUGCAGAGAAAUGCAACUUGUUAAGGAAGCUUCACAUUGAUGGAUGGAAAGCAAAUCGAAUAGGUGACCAAGGGUUAAUUGCUGUUGCGAAAUCUUGCCCCAAUUUACAAGAAUUAGUUCUUAUUGGUGUUAAUCCCACCAAACUGAGUUUGGAAAUGUUAGCUUCUAAUUGUCCAAAUUUAGAACGGUUAGCCUUAUGCGGUAGCGAUACAGUUGGUGAUGCAGAGAUAUCUUGUAUUGCUGUGAAAUGUAUUGCUUUAAAGAAGCUUUGUAUCAAGAAUUGCCCUGUUUCGGAUCAUGGCAUGGAAGCCCUUGCUAGUGGUUGCCCUAAUUUGGUUAAAGUGAAAGUGAAGAAAUGUAGAGGAGUUACUUCAGAAGGGGCAGAUUGGUUAAGAGCAACUCGAGGAUCACUUGUCGUUAAUUUGGAUAUCAAUUUGGAUAUGGGCGAGCAUUUAGAUGCAAGUGCCAGUGAUGGUGGGGCACAAGAUAAUGGAAUUGAAUUUCCUCCAAUGGUGGGCAGUCAAAUUGGAGCUUCUAGUAUGGCAUCGAGCAGUACAGGUCGAUCGACAUCAUUCAAGUUGUUAGGGCUUAUGAGUGGGAGGAGUUUUGUGGCUUGCACAUUAAGGAGGUUGGCAAGUAGUUCUCGGAGUUAACUCGGAAUUGCAACAACAACAAAAAGAAAAAGAGUGACAAUAGAAAGCACUCUUGGUAUGAACUGUUUACAUUAUUUUUCUGUUGGUAGUUCUCCCUUGUUUGUGUAUUUAAUUCAAUUCUGUGUGCUGAUGAUUGCCUUUUGAAUUCAAUCUUCAUCUUCAACAUUUUAUAGUUCUCAAUUUGAUCUGUUGGUUUGUAGUUCCUUUAUUUAGCAAGCUCUGUCUAUGUCUUCAUUCUUCUCAAACAUAUUUGUCCUAUACUGGAAUUUAAAGAACAUCUUUCUGAUUAAUUAGUUAUAUCUCUUUAUUUGGUCCGUGUUACAAAAUACUUGCAUACCAACAUGCAUGUCCUCCAAAUGCAUACUUGUAUCCUAAAAUUCUUCUUAUUAGAUAGGAGGAGGUUUGUUUCUCCUGUUAUAUGCAAUUUAUAUAUAUAUAUAUAUAUAUCAAUUGAGUUUUAAAUAUCUUAAUUGUUUGUUGCUGCAUGUUUUAAACAUGAUCAAUAGUAGGGAUCAGGUGUUGGAACUGAGAACCCGGUUAGACUUUUUGAUUUGCAAUAUGCAUAUCCUUAAUGCAAAUCAAAGCCGGAUUCAAACGCCAACGUCUUGAUUCUUUGGAAAAAUGAUUCUUUAAUGUUAUUUUUGGUUUGAUGAGAAAAGAUCUGAUGAAUGCUACCGCUGUAUGAAAUUAGUAAGUUCUCUGAUUUUUUUCUCUGUGAAUUGCUGUUAAAAUUGCUUUGAUGUUACAUAAGCCAAUUUUUAUGAUGGUUUAUUAUGAUGCUUCUGGUUGAUCAUAUUUUGCAAUGACUUGUUGAUCUGCAAUAUUAAGUGGUUAGGAAUUGAGCAGUUUAUCAUCUUUAAAUGGUUUAAUUCAUGCACCUCAGAUACACUUGCACUUUCAGGAGAGAACAAUUUUUUAUUUAUUUAGUUUCUAUUACUGGGGACACAAUCACAAGUCUCAUGGUCGGAUUGCAUUUUGUCUUCUCUAUUGAAAAAAUGGGCUAAUUAGUUCCUAUAUCUUAAGAUCAAAGAGCGAAUGUCUUUUUUGUUAAAUGUUUCACCUAUUUGUACUAAAAAUUGACGUGGUUAACGAAAUAAUUAAAAUGUCAAAUCAUGACAUAAGAUCUGAUUUUUUUCUAAUAAAGGAAUCAUUUUACUUUUUGAUCUACCAUGGAUGGAUUAAUUUGUUUUUUUCUAAUAAAAGGGAUAAAAUAUAAUCUGAUUUUUAGGUUUAGUUUAGCAUUAUUUUUUAAAAGUGCUUUUGAGAAAAAAAUAUACUUUUGAGGAGAAGUUAAAAUUUUCAGUUUUUGAAAAAAAGUAUUUUUGAUUAAUUUAUAGCUUGAGAGAAAUACUUUUUCUCGAAAAAAAAGAAUAUUUUUAUCUCAAAAAAAGUGUGUGGGGGGUUUUCAUUAUACAUUUACUUAAGUUUCUGACCAUGCAUUGGCAAAUUCAGGGUUGAUCUUGUUGAAUUGUUGGUUUGUGGUAAUGCUUUUAUUCUUGUCAGCUUGCCUACCGCUGAAUAAUUCCAAAAUAUAGGUGGUUUGAAAAUGCAUAUUCCAACAAUGCAGAUUCAGGACAGUGAAUGAUUUUGAAUUGGAGGCGUCCUACCCCUGCUUUCUGCCUUGGUGCUCCAAGUCUCAUAUUGUAUUAAUUAUAUUCCCGCCUAAGAAAUACAAAAUUUGAAACUUCUCAGAAAUUAAUGACGUUGCUUUUGAAGCCAUCACAUUCGUAAAAUGAAUGUGAGUGCUAAUUUUUGUCACAUCUUGACAUUGUGAUAUAUUUUAAUGUUUAUAAUGAUAUAUAGUACAUAAACAUUGCAAUUUGAAUGAAUUGGAGAUUGCUUCCACAUCCACAAUCCAUGACCUAAUAAAGAUGCUUGCUUAUCCUGUUCUGUACCAACUAAGCAUGUUUUUUUUUCUUAAUUUGGGCCAAUUACUCCAUUUACUAUUUAAUAAUAAAAAUUAUUUAAUCUAUAUUACAUUCAAAAUCUUUGGCAAGUGAAUAGCAAUUCAGUAGAGGGGAAAAAGAACUAGAUUUUGGAAGUAACAAAUUUUAUUUACAUCUUUCAAUAAUUCUCUAUAGGAAAAUUAAAUAAUUUAAACUACAACUUUUUUUUUAUUUGAAUGAUAUAAAUAAAUAAUGCAAAUAUGCUAACACAUAAUAGGUGUUGAGUUCCUUAUGGUUGCUCAACAACUAUCACAAAACUUGUUGUGUAAAACAUUGUUAUGAACUUAACAUAUGUGGUUAUCAAGAUCAUGUUAUUUUAAAUUAUUCGAUCCAACUUGACACUUGACUUUUUAGGACUGUACUUUGUUAUUAUUGACAGAUUUGAUUUGAUAUAUUAGAAAUUCAACACCAUUAGGCCGUUUUGCAAUACAUCAAACUUGACAUCUACGAGUGUUAAGAUCAUGCUAUCUUAAGUUGUUCAAUCCCUUUCCCUUCUAAUAAAUUCUGCAAAACCAAUAACCAUUAUUCAUUCCAAAAUUCUUUCAAAAUCCUCUUUAACAUCUACAUACCCUAAACCAUUCGAAUUACUUUCAAAAUUCGCUACAAGUCAUUUAUCAUGUAAGUGUUUUUUCUCCAUAAUUNNNNNNNNNNNNNNNNNNNNNNNNNNNNNNNNNNNNNNNNNNNNNNNNNNNNNNNNNNNNNNNNNNNNNNNNNNNNNNNNNNNNNNNNNNNNNNNNNNNNGUGACAUUUAUUAGCAGAGAAGCCAUGAAACUUACAUUGACCAUAUAUUAGAAUUGGUACAUAUGUUCACACCAGCUUCAACAUUCAAGGCGCAUUUUGGGGACAAAACCAUGAGGUUAACAAUACCUUAUAAAACUAGUCUAUAUAAUGAAAUAGUGAGUGCCUGCGGGGUCACAUGUACUCAUAUUAUUCAUCAAAAACGAAAAGACAAAAAAGGAGGAAGAAAAGAAAAACCAAAAUGAUGCGCAAGCGCAAGUGGGAAAUGUUGUAGCUUCUCGUGGCGGCCGUUGAAAAGGCAGCAAGUGUCCCACCACUUGGAAGAAUGCAUGAAUAUGCAAUAUUAUUGCAUUUUAUCAACUGUCAUCAAUGGAACUUCUAUAACAACUUGGAGCUAAAAUGGGACCCUCAUCCCGUCUCCCAACUAAUUGUCUAGAGACAAAGAUCAAAUCCCAAAAUGGGCAAAUUGCAUAACUUUCUUCCUUGCCUCUUCCAUGCCUUGUUUUUGUUCACUCAAAAGUGUUUUAACCAUUGAUUUUUACCCUGAAAAAACAUUCAGCCAGGAGUAACUGCAUAUAUGUAUAUGUAUAUGCAUGUCUCGGAGAUGUCGGGGCAACGCAACAAGACACAAUCAGACAAGUCAUGGAUGGUUGUCUUAAAAGAUCUUUUUCAUCUAUAUUAAUACAUACAUACAUACAUACAUACAUACAUACAUACAUACAUACAUACAUACAUACAUACAUACAUACAUACAUACAUCAGUGUCAAAACUAAGUCCUGUUUUGGGCUGAAAGACAGUGGCAUUUGUCCGUGCCUGUCUUGAACUUACCGUCAUACAAACUUAGCAUCUUACCGUCAAAUAUAGUAUGUAUUUUAUCUCUCAGAGAUUAUUAUGCUCCAAAAUUCCUCUUGUAAUUGAUCUGCAUCACCAACCAAAACUACAAAAAAGGUUUUUUACACCGGCAUGCACAACAUAUUACGACUAUUUUUUUUCAAAAUCCCUUAAUUCCUCCAAUAAAUUUAGUAAAACUAUAUAUAUAUAUAUAUAUAUAUAUAUAUAUAUAUAUAUAUAUAUAUAUUGCUAUAAGUUAUGUGAUUGUUUUUGCUUGCUAUUGUAGUAAGUUACUGUUAAUUUUAUUGGAUUAUUUGUUAUCAAGAAUUGUUGAAGUUGUUAGCCUUAGUUGUAAUGUGCAAAAUUUAAUAUUUGACAACCUCAAAGAAAAAGAUGGUAGAUUAACUCAUGGCCCAAAUCCAUUUGAAGGGAUUUAUUAUUUUCACUGAGGAAAGAGUUGUAUUUCAAUAUGAAGCUUGACAUUUAGGAAUGAUGUUACCUUAGAGUACAUGAAAUGGAGGAUUCUUAGGAAAAUUCAAGCAAGAGGUACUAAGUGGAUAUCCAAUAUGAAAUAUAAAUUCAUGAGGUCUAGUAGAAUGGCUGUAAGUGUUAUGACACCAUAAAAGUGAUAAUGUUGCCAUGGAGCUAUUAGUGGAGUUUUAAUAUGUUUUUGAUACUAGUUAUGACAUUUUGAAUUAUGCAAGCUCAUUGACUAUCCUGGUGCCGACAUAUUAUUUGAAGAUUCUAUCAAUGUCAGAUACUACCGGUAUCUUUCCUGAGUACUAUACCCAAGAGUCUAUGGUGCCAUAUAUUCGUGAGUUGCAUGAAUAAAUGAUGGUUGUUUCAUUGUUGGGAGGAUUUGAAUUGGUCAAAGCAAAUUAUCUACAUCUUCUGGUAGGUGACAAUCUCGAAUAAUUUGAGUAAAAAAUGAUGCACAACUAUCUUUGUUUAAGGCAUUUCGGAAAUCAAAGCAUCAUGAUAACGAUGUUGGUGAGCUCACUUGUAAUAGCCUGAUUUUCAGUGGUGCUGAAAAAAGUGAUUUCAGAACCUUAUUUUCGUAAACCAAGUCCGUAAAUAUUAAAUAUAAAUAUUUAUGGAGUUGGUAUAUUAGUAUAUUAAAGUUUGGUUUGGCAAUUUUGUUAAAUUCAUUGUUAAUUUAGGUGCAAUGACUAAAUUGUAAAAGUUCAAUCGUUAUAGGUUUUUAAUUGACUAAAGGCUUAAGGACUUAAAUUACAAUUAGCCAAAGGUCCAAAAUGAUAAUUAAACCAUUUUUCAUUAUGAAUUGGUGGAUGAUGAUGAGAGAUUCCAUUUUUUAAUUAGUGGUUGAUUAAGUUAGUUAAAACAUAAUUAGCUUAAUUAAAUUAAGUUAAUUAACUUUUAAACAUGGUAUAAAAGAAAAAAGUGGAGUUUUGUCUUCACUUCCAUCUUCCUCACUGCUCGUAGUAGAAAAACCUAAAGAAAAACCAUUUUUGAAGCUCAAGCUAUUUGAUCCCUAAUUGACAAGAAUUGGAUCAAACCAGAGAUAAUUGAGGAAAAGCUAAAAUUGUCGAUUAGUCCUUGAAGAUUCAACUUGUUUGGUGUUUUGACCAGGUACGGAACUUACUAUUCUAUUUUAAUUAUGUAUGAAUUAUACUUGAAUUAAUAUUUAUAUAUAAUUGUUAGAAUUGAGUAGAAUUAGAGAAUUGGCACAAAUGUCUUGUAUUAGACUGAAUUGUAAAUUCGUAUAAGUAUUGGUUGUAUGAAAAUAAUACAAGGUGUUAAUAUGAUCAUUGAUUGGUUAUAUGCCUCGUAAAUGAAAAAUGAAAUAUGUACAUGAUUUGAUAUUGACAUUUAUACGGAAGUAAUGCCCAAGUAAACUUAGUAAAAGGUUAAGAUACAUAUGACAUGCCAUUAGAGUUAUACACGUAUUUGAUUAGGUAUUUACAUGUUAUUACGAGAUCUAGCAUUUGUUACAAAUACCCAAGUUAAAUGUAUCAUAGGUUUAACUGGAUGGGUAACCUUGAUAUAAUGUCAGCUUAUGUGAGCAAUACAUUCUCAUGUAUUCAAGUUCGUUUUACUAUAGUUCCAUCGGGUGAUGAUCAAUUAACUAGAAAUGGAAUUUAAAUCAUGAAAUGAUAUUGAUGAUACUUGACAUAUAGGUUGUUAUAUGAUUCUAUUUUUAAUGUUUUUAAUGUUAACAAUACUUAAGAUAUAUGUAUUAAUGUGCCAAGAAAAGUUAAAUUGGUUUCCAAAUAGAAUAAAUUAAUUAUGUUGUAUGACCAAUGUAUGCUUUAGUUUCAAUUUGAACUUACUAAAAAUUUUAUAUGCUUACCUCGUUUGUUUUCCCUUUUUCCUUGUAAAUAGUCACCUUGCGAAACGCAUCAAGUUGGAUUGUCUCAAAACUCACACUAUCUCCAAUUCAGUAGCUAUUUGAUCAUUUUGAGUCAAGGGUUGUGGCAUGUAUAUAAGGUGUCUUAUGGUGCAUCUUAGUAUGUAAAUGUAUUUACUUAUAGCAAGUUUCUUUUUUAAUCUUUACUUAUCAUGUUGAUUUGGUGAUUCAAAUAAUACAUGUUGUUGGGCAUAUAUGUAUGUUUAUGCUAAAGAAUGUGAUGAACUAUAUUCAUAGAUUUGGCAUGUGAAAUGGCAUAGAAUGAAGUUGAGAUGGUAUGUUUGAUUGGUAAGCUUGAAAUAUGUAUUAGUGAAUAGAUGAUUUGGUUUAUGUUAAGGCAUAUAAGCUAUUAAAGUGCAAAGUGAAUAUAUGUGUAUGAAAUUAAGGUGAUAUAGCAUGUUUCAAAAUGAAACGACAUUAGUAAGGUUUGAUCAUUACAUGACUUGGUUGUUAGGAUAUAAUAGUAGUAAGAUGUUUUGAAUAGGUGUGGAUUGUUUGAUAAGAAGUUGAAAUUGUAUGUUUGAACUCAUAUGGUAUGUUUUCAUAGAUUUUGAGACAAUUUGGAGUGAAAUAUAGGUUCAUCUUUUGAAUGGUUUGGUUGGAAACUUUGAAAUAUGAACCAAAUGGUUCAUUUUUACCAAAAACAGGGUCCUUGUCUCGACGACCAUCUUUCCUCGUCGCAACAUCGGUCAACAGUAUGUGACGUCGCAGUGUCGAGUGGCUUGAGUUCGUGACAUGAAAAAUUGUUUGACAAUGUCACAAUGUGGAAAGGAUGAUGUCACGACAUCAAAGCUGAACUUUUAAAAACUUUGCAAUUUGGUCCUAUUUUGAGUUCGGGUUUACAAAAGAACUUUCAUAAGCUCGAUUAAGACUCGAAAUUGAUUGUUUAAUAUGAUUUGAAUGUGAUUAACACUUAAAUUGCAUGUGUGAAUGAUUAAUUACUGCAUGUUUGUCUAUAGUUCGGACCUGGUGAUUAGGUCAGGCGAGGGGUGUUAUAUCACUAAAGUUGAAGCUGAAACCUAGGUUGAAGCCAAAUUCGAUAUUGAAGUUGAAUGUGGCAGUGAUCUUGAGCUGAAAGUGUUAAGAUUUGUUCCCACAGUGCAAUGAUUGGUCACAACUACUUGUAAGUUUUGUAGAAAAAUGAUUGAAUAAAUAAAAUUACCACAUGUUCAUUUAGUUGAUCUUUAUAUGUUUUUACUCAAUGGUUUUUGCAUGAAAAACAAAAUGUUUAACAAACUUCUUAAUUACCUAAGGUUUAAAUACUAUUAAGUUGCAUUAUAUGGAUGGAUUAUACUGCAACAAACUUAUACUAGUAGGUAAUUUAAAUUAUUUGUAGUACAUAGAAUUAGAUUGAGCAAAUGAUUCAAAUAAUAAGAGACUAUUAUGUUUUCUAUAAUUCUAAUUGGAGAGAUAGCUUGCCUUGGCUAUCAAAGCAAAUUUGACUCCAAGAAAUAGACAUAGAUGUGAUUGUCUGGACUAACAAUACAUUAGAUUGGAUCCAAGUUGAAUUGAUCCUAAGUUCAUUUAUAGAUUCAUUCACUGGUGACAUUCAUAGCAUGACUUACCUUAAUAUUGAGUAAGUGAAUAAUCAUGCAUACAUGACUCAUGUACUUUAUAUAUUGAAAGCAUGUGCUUUCAUAGUAGCGGGUUGAACUAUGUUUGGUACAUGAGUUAUGCAUGGCAUGACUUUACCCACAAUAGUGGAGGUAUAGCUUGAAUGAAAGAGUAAAUGACAUGCUCUCAUUGGCACUGUAUGGAUUUUGAAAAUGGAACGUGGACAUGAGUCAUUUGUCUGGACGAAUGACUAAUCAUUACUAUUUGUAAAUAAUGAUCAUUUUCAUUGUGGAAGAUACAAUGUUGACCAUAAAAUAAAAAUAGAUUGAAUUAGGUGAAUGAAUUUAACCUAAAGGGGUCAAAGAUUUCCUAUCAGGGUAACAUACAUAUGACAAAGUCAUUGGACAAAAUCUUAACUUAAAUAGCUUUCAUAAUGGUAUAUAAUGGAGAGAUUAUUGAUGGUACUUUUAGUAGAUUGAAGUUGUGACUAAAUAACUAUGUAAUUAAUAGACGAAGAAUCGAAACUUAAUUACAAAUUAUCUAAGGCCUAAUUAUAUAUGUCCAAUCGAUCCAUCCUGUAACAAUCCAAAAUUUUGGUAUGUCAUCUGGCAUUGUUUCAAAAUCAGAUACAGUGAAAAUUCCAAGGAUAUUGGAAAAUGAUUUAGGUAAAGAAAGUUCAUGAGAGGAAAUUGAUAUUUGAGAUGGAAGUCAUGAAAAAUAUUGAGGAUGUGGAAAUGUCGCAAAAAAAGACCAAAUUGUAAAUUUUAAAAAGUUGGAGGACUAAAGUGAAAUUUGACCAAAAAGAGAUAGAGAUUAUUAUUGACUAUUGUAGCAUGAGAAUAAAUUAGAAUAUGUAUUGGUGUGAGGAAAAUCAUUUUUGAGACUAAAUUGGAAAGACUGGAAAGUACAAAUAUUAAAUUAUAAUUUUUUUUUAUCGAGAGAAGGGUGAAAGUGUAAUUUUCACCAUCCAAUGAUUUUUAUUAAGAUUUUAAUUCUGAAAUAUGAGAUUUCAAUAUUUUACAUGUCUAUUUGUUGAGAAGAAAUUGUACUAAGAGGCAAGAAGGGAGAUAAUGAUAAUUUUACCAUGUAAGAGCAUUUUGAUCAUUUCUCAAGAAUUUUAUAUUGGAAGUAUUAUUUUGGCAUGAUGUUAUUAUAUUGUGAUCUAAUGUUAGCCAUUGGAUGUGAAUGGAAGGGAGACAACAUGUUAAUAUAUUUUGACAUAAUGUCAUUAUAUUUUAUACAAAUGAUUGGGUUAGUGAGAACAUUAAAAAAUACUCACAAUAUUAAGUUUGAUAAUUUGAAUUGGAUCACACUCUUUUGUAUUCUUUGCUGGAAAAUAUGGAAGCAAAGAAAUUUGCUUGUGUUUAGGAGAGACAGAACAUUGUGGUUCUUAUAACACUCUUGCGCAAGGCGUUGCUAGUUUAGGCAAAGUCAGUGUUCAACAGUCGUGUUACGAGUAGCCAACAGGCUAUUAAAACUGAAAAGCUUGUUGGAUGGUCAGCUCAUGCAUUUGGUUGGGUUAAAUUGAAUACAAAUGAAGCAUAGCUUCAACAAGGGGGUAGUGACUGAGAGACUCCUCAGGUCGAUGGCUAAAGGGAUACAAUCCGAACACUGGUUCUUGUUCAGUUUAUCAGAGAUGGGUUUUUAACUGGAAAUCCAUAUGCCGAAUGAGAAGAAUGCUCCGGUUAGGAGUAUUAACAAACUCUGCAUUUAACCAUCUGUAAUAUAAAUGUUCUUAGACCUUAUUUAAUAACUGUUGCACUUACUUUAAUUAAUUAAUUUAAUCUUUUAUGCCAAACAUAAUCCAUAAUUUUUUUUAUCUCUUCUUUACCUAAAUGAAGAACAAGCAGUUAAUUUAAAUAAUUGCACGGAUUUUUUUUCUUUUUUUUUUAACUUAACAUGAAAGAUUCGAGAUUAUAUAAUUAAAAGAAUUUUAAGUUCUGUAGACAAUUACUAAAUAUGAGUUAUUUGAGUUGAUUUCGUUAUUUAUAAUCUAGAAACAUAAAAUUUAAUUUUAAAAUUUAGAAGGAAAUUUAAUUAAUUUAAAUAUUGUAGUAACAAAUCGGUUGACAAUAUCAAGAGAUAAUUUUUUUUGAAUAAAUUAUUUAAUUAAUUUUGAUGUUUUGAUUUUUAAAAAUUCAAUACUUAAAAAGGAAAUUUAAAAUUUCGGAAAUAAAUUUAAAAAGUAUAAUUUGACAAUUUUUUAAUGUAUUAUUUUAGUUUCUUCUGAUUUUUCACUUACCUUAAUUUUUUAACCCUGAUUAAUAUGUUAAGAAAAGAAUGUUUUUUGGGUGACCAAAGUGAAACAAACUUAGAAGUUGGGUGACCAAAAUGAAAGUGUGAGCAUGAUGUGGCAUGCACUAUCCACGAGUGUUAGAGAUUUAAUGCUUGAGUGACUAAAAUGAAAACACACUAAAAAUUAGGUGACCAAUUAGAGAAUUUGCCCUAUUUAUUUUAGUAAAGUUACUUAUCAUCUAUCUCUAUAUAUAGAAGUAUUAUAAUCACUUUUAUCUAUUCUAGAGAUAAGAAAAUUUUAAUGUUUUUAUUAGAUUUUAUUUUAUUAUAUUUUCAUCCAUUCAUAUGUAAAGAUUUGUUUUUUUUUUUUAUAUCAACUUAAUAUAUAUUCAUGAUUUUAAAUUCAUACUAAAAUAAGUUUUACAAUAUACACAUUAAAUAAAAUUUUAAUUUAAAAGUAAAUUAUUUUUUAAAACCUUAUUGAUCACAUAUAAAUAUUUUUUUAAGUAAAUGUAUUCUUUUAUUCUUUCAAUUAAUAGUAUAUAUAUUUCUUUUUUAUUCUUUUUAAUUUCACAUUUUUUAUUUAUUCUUUUUUGUAUUUUCAUCUAUAUGAUUUUAUAUCAAUAUAUACAUGUGUGUGCAAAAAAUUAUUUUGAUUAAAAAAGUUAAUUUUCAAGCAUUUUAUGAUUGCUUAACAUAGAAUUUUUUUCAUUUAUUUAUUUAAAUUAAAUUUAGUAAAUAAUUUUAAAGUUUAUUAAGAUAGUAUUUUAGGAUAAUAUAUCUUAGUUUAUUUUUUUCCAUUUUUAUUUAUUAAUAGUUUUAAUAAAACAUAUGUUUCAUUUUUAUAAUUUUAUAAUUUUAUAAGUUUCAAAAGAUAAUGAUUUUCAUUUAUUUAUACUAAAUUUAUUAUUUAUUAAGUUUUUAUUUUAAAUAGAUCUUAAACUUGAAUUAUUUUAAACAUUAAAAAAACUAAUUACCAUUGAAGAGGUAAAAAAUUAAAAUUAUAAAUAUGAGAUUAGUGUUUUACUUUAUGACAAUGAAAAUGAUUUUGCUAAUAGAUAAUUUUUUUUAUUAAUAUAUACAUAUAUCUAAUGAAUUUUUUUAAUAAUUUGUCUUUUACACUUUGAAUAUUUUUACAACACACCUUUUAAAAUAUAAUUUUCUAAUUAUUAUUUAAAAUUUAAAUUAAUUCUAAUUACUUGAAAUUUAAAUUUACUUUUAUUAUUACAUUAAAUUUCUUUUAAAUUAUUUAUAACUCAUUCAUAAUCAUACCUAUUUCUUAUAUUUUGAUUAAACAAUAAUUUAUUAUAAAAUUUUCUAAAAUUAAAUAAUAAUUUUGUAUUUAUUUUCAUUUUUAUCAUUAUUUAUAUUUAUAUUUAUUUUAAUAUUAAGUCACAUUUUAAAUAUUAUUUUAUAAUAAAAUUAAAUUUAUUAAUAUUAAUAAUGUAUUUUUGUUAUACUAAAAAUUUUUAGUUAAAAUUUUAGAAUAUAAGAUAAUAUUUUAAUUUUAGUUUUAUUUUAAAUAAUUUUUUAUUAUAAUUUUAAUAAGAUAAAAAUUCUUCAUAGAAAUAUAUUAAAUAAACAACUAACACAUGCAUCAUGGAUAACAAACUAGUUAGAAUAUAAUUUAAUUAAAUUUUAAUUUGGUAAAAAUGAAGAAUUAUUUUAAAACUGUUAUGAUUAUUAAGUGGAUGUCCAUCAAGAUUAAUAUAAAUUUUGAUGUAUUUUAAAUUCUAAUAGUCAUUAAAGUUAGAUCUCUACUUCAUUUAUACUUCUUAUACCUAUAAAUAGAGACUUUGGAAGAGCUUUGUAAAUAUUUUGAUUGAUUAAUAAAAUACACUCUCUCUCUGCUCUCCCAUUCUCUUUGUUCUUUAUUUUCUAUCUUUUUAUUUUAUAACAAGUUAUCAGCACGAUCUUACUCAAAGUGAUAAAACCUUUUAUCGGCGAUCAAAUUUAUUCUCCAUGAUUUUGUAACAUCCCGAUUUUGGGCCUAGUCGAAACAGUGGUUUCGAGACCACAAAUUCGAUGAGGAAAAAUUUAUUUUUCAUAUAUUUUUAUGGUCUACGAUUUCACAAAAUGAUUUUGUGAAAAUUUUGUUUGAAAAUUUCGACGUUUGGGCACUCAAUUUAGUCAAAAGGACUAAAUUGUAAAAAGUGCAAAAGUUGAGUUCUACAUGUUAGAGGUGCCCAAUUGUUAUGAAAUUUUUAAUUGGAGGUCCUUAUAUGGUAAUUAGACCAUUGGUUAAGUUGGUAGACAAAAAUGGACAUGGUUAGGCAUGUUUCCAAAGUUUUUCAUUAAGGGCAUUUUGGUCAUUUAGUUAUUAAAAUGAAUUAAAAAAAUUAAAAGCCAAUUUUUGUCCAUCUUCAACCCCAUGGCCGAAUUUCACAAGGGGAAACCAUGGCUAGGGUUUUUCAAGCUUCCAAGCUCGAUUGUAAGUCUAUUCUAGCCCCAUUUUUAAUGUUCUUUACGUUUUUGGAGUCUCGGUAACUUGAUUUAGCUUAUUCUAGUAAUAAUUUAACCUAGGGUUCAUAUUUGGAAAAAUACCCAUAGGUGAAAUGUGUUUAUUUUGAUGUUUUAUGGUAGAAUAUGAAGCUUGAAAUUAUGUUAAACAACUUUUGUUAAGUGAUUUUAAGUGAAAACGAAUAAAACGACAUAAUCAGUAAAAAUACCUAAUGUUCAUAAGUAAGUGUUAGAGUGGGAAUUUGAUGUUACCAUAGAAGGGAAAAAUGUUCAGCAUGUCAUAAAAAAUAAGAAUAAGGGAUGAAAUUUAAUUUCCGAGCUUUGGGACAAGAUUGUAAAUAUGCAAAAGUUUAGGGGUAAAAACAUAAUUUUGUCAAAGUUCGAGUUAAGGACUAUUUUGAUGAAUGUGAGUAUUAAAUAAGCAGAAUUUUCUAUUAUAGAUCAAGAAGAAUAAAAUUCGGAGUUAGACCGGGGAAAGAAAAAGGUUGAGGACUGAAGUGCUAGAUUUGAUCAUAUUUUGUACCGAGGUAAGUUUACGGUAAAUAAAUGUAAUAUUUUGAUAAUUAUUAUUAAUGCUGUUAUUUUUCAUAAAUUAUGUAUUUAUUUCAUGAAAAUAUCUAAUGUUAACUUAAGUAUGAGAUGACAGAGAAUCAGUGUUAAAAGGCCCCAUUGAAACAUGAGGAAUGUAUUGGAUACAAAUGUCAUGACAUUUGGGUAAAGAGAUCCCAUGUAAGACCUGGGAUAUGGCAUUGGCAUCAUUGAGAUUAUGAGAGGUCCCAUGUAAGACCAUGUUUGGGACAUGGCGUCGGCACCGAGAUGAGAGGUCCCAUGUAAGACCAUGUUUGGGACAUGGCGUUGGCACCAAGAUGAGAGGUCCCCCGUAAGACCAUGUCUGGGACAUGGCAUGGGCACCUAUAUGAGAACUCUCAUGUAAGACCAUAUCUGGGAUAUGGCAUUGGCAGUACAAGAAACAUCCGAUGUAAGACUAUGUCUGGGACAUAGCUUUGGCAUGUUAUAUUCAGACAGGAGACUGAGUAUCCUUAGUAUUCUAAGUGAUUCAACGGGCUAAUAAAUAGACGAUGUUACAUGAAAGUUCAGGUAAAAGCCUAAUAGACAAGUUUAGGUGAGUUAAUAAGAUUAAGAGUAUCUCAGUUAUCAGUUGAGAAAAGAAAUUUCAGCAACGAAGGAGUAAGUUAAGCAAGCAAGUAAGUAAACGAGUAAGAGAGUAAGUAAAGAUCUUAAUGCUUAAAAAAAUUUAUGAAUAUAAUUGUUUAUGAUAAAUGUUGUUAUUUAUUUACUUGUAAACUUACUAAGCUUUAUGCUUAUUUCUUUUAUUUCUUUUUCUUUCAUAUAAUAUUAUCAAGCAUAGUCGGGAUCUUGAAGACGUCGGAGAGCGUUCACACUAUCAACCACCACAACUCGGUAUUUUAAGACGACCAAUGUUUUGAGCUAUGGCAUGUAUAGGGACUUGGUCAUUUCGAUUGUAUAUUCUUAAGAUAUGACCAAAAAAUGAUAUGUAAAUAUUUGAUGAUGAAUAGUUACUAAAAUGACUAUGUAUGAAGGUGUUUGUUGUUAUAAAUGUCUAGGUGAUAAAUUAUGCAUAGAAAUCAUGAAAAAGUAAAAAUUGGUAGUGAAUCAGUUUUGAGACACCAGUAAUGAUGUGAAUUUGAAAAAUCACCAAGGAUAGUAGAAAAUGAAUUAGAGGGUGGAUGAGAUAUAAAUUAAAUCUUAUUGAGUCUAUUUUCAUAGAAAAAUAAUGGUGUAGACAAAGGAAUUAUGUAUUCUGAGAUAUUUGCAUUUUAGUUAGACAAGGUCAAAGUGGUUUUCGAAAUCCCCUAUUCUAACUUUGGAAAAUAAUUAAAAAUUGUACAAAAAUAUUUAUGAGUUUUAAUUUAUAUUUCUAGAUUCCUUAUUGAGUCUAUUUUCUGUAGAAACAAGUGAGAACACCAUAUGAAGUCUGUACAAUGAGAUAGUUGAAUUUUAGUGACGAGAGAUCAGGACAGUCGAUAAGUGAAACAAGGGAGACUUUAACUAAUAAAUUGUACUAAUUUGUUGAACCAAAAAUUCUAAAAAAAUUUAUGGUAAAAAGAUAUAUGAGUCUAGUUUCAGGAAAAAUUUACGGAUCUAAAUUUCGAGUUUCGUAGCUCGAGUUAUAAUUGAUUUAGUGACUGCUGCGCAGGUGGACAGCCUUAUUAUGAACAGUGAAAUAGCUUUUAAAAGUAAAUUUUUAUGCCCCGAACUUUUAACUUAAGUCAAGUAAUGCCUCAUGCUCGACUCCGGCAACGGUCUCGGGUAAGGGGUGUUACAGUUUUCCAAGAUCUUAGAAGGCAAGAUGCAAAGAUUUUGCAGGAAGUUUCUUUUAUUUAAUGUUUUAUAUUUGAUUAUUUUUAGAUAAUUCAUGAUCAAUUAUAAUUAUUUUGAUUAACUUUUUUUAUUAUUAUGUUAUUAAGGAUGGUGAAUGAUUUGAUAUCGCUAUCUAUAUGAAAUUGUGAUUGGAUUCAAAGUCUACUAUUGGAGUUUAAAUUUGAUUACUUCUUGAUAAAAUCAUUAAGAAUUCGUUGAACAAGAAAGGUACAUCAACGUAAUUACAUCUCUAUAUUUACACUUUUUCUCAAUAAUAGCAUCUUUAGAUAUUAAAUUAAUUUGAUAUAUGGUUUAAAUAUUUGAGAUGAUUUUAUUUUAAGGUUUGGUUCCAUGGGUUACUUAUGGUUUCAAACAUCUUAUUUAUUAAUGAAAAUGAAUAUUGUUUGACUUCUUUAUGUUGUUAUAGUAGGUUUUAUAAUUAAAUAAUGUAUUUGGCUAAAAACAUAUUAGUAUGUAAAUUUGUGUUGAUAAACCUAUGAAAUUUAUAAUUGUUCAGUUUUGAUUUAGUUUGAAUAUAAAUUAUGUUCCAUUAAUGUCUCUUAUUAUUUUGGUUAUACGGUUUGAAAUUUUUCAAUACUCAUACAUGCAUAGUUCUAAACACAAUUUUUUGAGGAAUGUUUAAAUUGAUUUUUGGGUUGGUUCUAAUAUUGAGUUUCAAGUUUAAUUGUUUUCAUUUUUAAUUCUUAAAUUAUUUUAGUUGAAAAUAUUUUCAUAAACUUAAAAAUAAGAAUUACUAUAUUAAUUUGACCGUUUUCAUUUCUAUGAAUCUCGUUUGUAUUAACCAAUUUUUGUUUGAUAAGAAGCAUUAAAACAACUCAUGUGGUUUGAUUUUUAUAAAUACCUUAUAUGUUCUUACUAUACAACCUAGAGAAACUUGUUACUUUCGUAAAGUUGUUAAAGGUGGUUCAUACUCUUUAUAUUUGUUAACUAUUUAGAGAAAUUAUAUGAACAAUUAUAAAUGGAAAAGUUUUAGUGAGCAUGAGAUGUAUGAUUUUGAAGUAAAUUUCAUACAUGUCUGCAAUGGUUUAUGAAUUUUUUGUUGGCACUAGCAUUAUAUCAAGUUUGAUAUUUUAAAUUUCAGUUUUAUCCGUACAUUUGAUUUGCAAUAAACUCCAUGUAUGACUUGGUUAUUUCUUUCUAGUUAAUUGAUGGUGAAAAACUCUUAUGAAAAGGGCUUAGAGGUAUUUUCGAUUGAUCUAAUGCCUUCUUGAAGCUAAACAAAAUAAUGAAUUAUUUGUUCCACUGAUUCUGCUUCAUUUCUUGAAGUGAAUGUAGCAAUAUAUAACAAUUAUAAAAUGGAACCUUUUGUCAUUAUUGACAAAUAGAUGAAAAGAAGAUGGAUAAUUCGAAAUGUUGCUAAUUGUUCAUUCUUAGGACAUAAUGACCAAUGAUUCAUACUAAUUAAUCAUUCCUUGAAGCGAAUGAUAUCUAUAUAAUCUUAUUGGUAAGGAAUAUGAUAUAUGCUUACAUUAUUGUUCAAUUUUUUUUUUGUACAUUCCUUGAAGUGAAUGUUUGCAAUAAAUAUAACAAAUUGUAUAAUCACUUUUGAUUAUUAAUGUCAAUUUGAACAUUUGAAGAUCUUGACAUAUUCCUUGAAGUGAAUAUUGCAAAUAAUUGUUUGCAAAUUAUAUUUCUUUUAUUGAGUUAAUAACAUUAUGGACUUCACAUUGAUGUAGACAUUUCCAGAAGUAAAUGUCAGAAUAGUACUUAUAUGUAGAUACAAAGUAAAAGGAAUGACAGUAAAAUUAUCAAUUUGUCACAAUUUAUAUUGACAUUAAUAGUACAAUUGAAACACAUGUUAAAGUAAACCAGAAUUUUACUGAUAUAAAUGCAUUUACUACUUGGCGUGAUCAGUUAGAACAUCAUGGAUCAUAUAUGAUGCGGAAAUUAAUUAAGAAUUCAUAUAGGCAUUCAUUAAAGAACUCUCAUUUGUUGCUUGUUCUCAAUGAAAACUGAUUGUUAGAAACUCACUAGCUAAAGUUGAGAUUUAAUUUCUUGUAUUUCCGAAAUGAAUAUGGGUCCAUUCAUCCACCAUGUGGAUUUUGAAAUUAUAUGAUUUAGGCAGAUGCAUCUACAAAAUAAUCACAUGCGUUAUCAACUCGCAACCUGUCGUUUGUGAGAUUUCUUGUUUAAAUGAUUAAUUUUAUAUUAUGCAAUUAAAACAAUUCAUCUUGCUAAUGUUGGUGAGUUUAUAUCCCAAGCUUUCAAUAAUUAUUGUAUGUCAAUCGGGAUAAAAGUUGAACAUUCCUGUAGCUUAUGUUCACACAUAAAACGAUUUAGCUGAAUCGUUUAUCAAAUGUCUCCAACUAAUAACUAAAUCAUUACUUAUGAGAACAAAACUUCCUAUUUCAGCAUGAGAUUGUAUUGAUUUACAUGUUGUACGCAUCAAGCCAAUAAAUUAUAAAUACUUCCCAUUACAAUUGAUUUUUGGUCAAGAGCCAAAUAUUUCCUAUAUUACAAUUUUUGGAUGUGUGAUAUAUGUUCCAACUGCUCCACCAUGACGCACAAAGAUGGGUCAUCAUAAGAGAUUGGGAAUGUAUAUUUUAUAUGAGUCUCCUUAUAUUAUUAAAUAUUUUUGAGCUACUAAUUUGAGAUUUAGUUAUGACACGAGUUGUUAGUUUUCCUAACAUUAGGGGGAGAGAAUAAAAAGUUGGAUUAAUAAAGUACUUGAAAUGAAAUAUCAAAGUCUAAGAUCCUCGUACAAAGCAAUGUGAACCAAAAGUUCAACAGAUAAUUAAUUUUACAAAUCAACUGUCAGAUUCAUUAAAUCUCACAUACCAACUAAAAAUGCUCCAAUACGAAUUGAUGUCCUAAUAGGGCAAACUGUUAGUGCAAAAGAAAGUAAUCCACACCUGAAGCGUGGAAGACCGGUCGGUUCCAAAGAUAAAAAUCCUCGUAAAAGAAAAGAAGCAAACAUUCAAGAUAGUCAUGUAGUGGAGACAGGGGUUCCUGAAGAGACCCAUGACAUAACUAAUUAUAAAACUCAAGAAGAGAUUUAGAUACCUAAAAGUGAAAAUGAAAAUGAUGAAAAUAAAGAGAUAUCGAUAAGUUAUGUUAAUACGAGAAAAAGAUGGAAUCGAAAAAAAUGUAGUUGUCGACAACAAUUUUGCUUAUAAUGUUGUCAUUGAAAUAACAAAAGGAAAUGAUGAUCCUAAGCCUAAAUUAUUGAGGAAUAUAAAAAUCGAAAAGAAUAGCCAAAAUGGAACGACGUAAUUCGAGCAAAAUUGAAUUCACUUUCAAAACGCGAGGUUUUUGGACAUGUAUCCCAAACACCUAAAGAUGUAAAGUCGGUAGGAUAUAAAUGGGUAUUUGUGUGAAAACGAAAUGAAAUUGUGAAUUCGUAAUAUAUAAAGCUUGACUUGUAGCAUAAGGAUUUUCAUAAAGGCUCGACAUUUAUUACAAAGCGACAUAUUCUUCUGUGGUAGAUGCAAUCACGUUUAGAUGCCUUAUUAGCUUGGCAGUACGUGAAAAACCGUACAUGCAUCUAAUGGAUAUUGUUACAUACUAUUUGUAUGGUAGACUUGAUAGUGAAAUUUAAAUGAAAAUCUUAUAAGGAUAUAGAGUUUCUUGGGAAAAUUGCUCGAUCAGACUAAAGAAAAGUUUAUAUGGAUUAAAAUAAUAUGGGCGUAUGUGGUACAAUCGUCUUAGUGAAUAUUUGUUGAAAGAAUGAUAUAAAAAUGAUCCAAUUUGUCCAUGUGUUUGUAUAAAAAGGUUUGGAUCGGAUUUUGUGAUAAUUAUUGUUUAUGUUGAUGAUCUCAAUAUUAUUGAAAUUCCUAAAGAGCUUCAAAAUGCAGUAAAUUAUUUAAAUAAAGAAUUUGAGAUGAAAGAUUUUGGAAAAAUAAUGUUUUGUCUUGGCCUGUAAAUUGAACAUUUAAAAUAUGGAAUUCAUGUCCAUCAGUCAAUUUAUACGGAAAAGAUCUUAAAGAAGUUUUACAUGGAUAAAGCAUGUAACGUCCCCACUUUAAAAAAAAAAAGAAGAAUAUUUAUGGUAGAAGUUCUUGAAUAAGUAGAAUUUCUUGAAUAAAUGAUCUAUAAAUAAAUAGUAGUAUAAAAAAAUUGUGAUCGUUUUUAGAGGAAACUGUCAGACAUGAAAACACAGAGGAUUAUUAGUAGGAGUAUGUGGUUAAUUUAAAAAUUCGGUAUCGAGUUCAGGGAUUAAAUUGAAUAAAUUAGAAAAGUAUAGAGACUAAAGUGCAAUUAUCUUAUUUUAUUUUUAUGGAAAGGACUUAAUGGUAAUUUUUCCAUUACUUAAAAAAUAAAAAAUCUCAUGAUGACUUUAAAUGAUAUUUUCAUUAAAUAAUUAUUAUUUAACAUUUUAUUUAAAAUAAUAGUAAUUUAUUAAAUAUUAUAAUAUAUAUAUAUAUAUAUAAAGAGAGAAAGAUUAGUUUCUUUCUCAUCUUUCUCACGGAAGGUUGGGAAAAACAAAACAAAACUUCUUCCAUUAUUUUCCUUCAAAUUCAAGUAUAAGGUAUGGUUUUCUUCAAAUUUUUGUUAGAUUUUGAAUUUUUAAAGCUUGCUUUACAUAUAUAUACCAAUAGUUUUUUUUAUCAAGUAUUUUGAAAGUUGUCAUUAAAGGACAUUGAUGGAACCUUAAAAAACUUAAGUGAAAUAGAUAUAUUUUUGGAUAGGAAAUAAUUAGAAGAUGAGUUCUAGCUUGUUAGAAGUGUGAAAAAGAAACAAAAAUGGAUGAAAAGUUUAUUUAGUAUAUUUGGCCAUGUUAAAGGGGAAGUAGAGAACAUUGGUCACUUUGUGUGAUAUUGGUGCUAAAUGAUAGCUAGUGAAGCAGUGAGUACUUUAGUGAAGACGGAAUUGAAAACGGAUAAUCGAGUAGAAAGAUAUGCGAAUUUCAAACUAGAAAACUUAAGUUCCUAACUUGAUUAACCAUGCAUAUUUAAGUUUGUUUUUAUUAGUUUUAGUUUUAGAAUGGAUAAAUGAUGUUGUUUCGUAUUGAAUUGCUCCUAUUGUAGAUAAAAACGAAGCGAACAUCUUGAAGGAGAAAGACGAAGAAAAUGAGUAAAAUGAUUAAUGCUUCGGUUUGUGCUAAUAUCUUAUUUUCAUUACAUAAAGCUUUACAAUAUAUAGUUUACUAUGACUAGUUAUAUUGAUUUUAUUUUAUUUUUAUGAGUUUUGGAUGAGUUUGAAUGAUUUAGUUAAUACUUAUAAAAUUAUGUUUCAAGAUGAAUACUAUGUUUUUCAUAUGAUCAAAUUAGCAAAUUCAUGGUUAUGAUUUGGAUUUGAGUAUUAUGAUUUUAGAUGAUUGAGUAAGAAAAUGAUUAAUAUGUUUUGAAUUGGAAGUCUAGUUUUAUAUUAGGCGAUAUAUGAUUUGAACAUGAAACGGAAUUGAAAUGAGAAUUAUAUGAAAAAGGAAUUGAAAUGGAUCAUGAAAUUUGGUUUUUACCUCGUUUCACUAAGUUAGACUAAAUCAGAUAUAAUUGAAAUAGAGAAUUUAGAUCUCUCCAAUUCCUAGAGUGUCGAGGGAGAAAUGGUCAAGUCGGUCAGUUGUUAUUAUUGUUAGCCCCAAUUCCUAGAGGGUCAUGGGCAGUCCCAAUUCCCAGAGGGUCGUGGACUACUCUGAUAGCCGUCGUUGUCGAACAACUCAGGGUGGCGGAUACGUAUAUCUGGUUAUGAGUCUAAACUUUAGUACGGGGUCUAAAUUGAAAGAAAAACAAAAACAAAACUUGAAUUUAUUUGAAUUUUCAUAUUGUGCAAAUUAAAUUAAUUAAUGCGAUUUUGAAUUUAAUUAAAAAAUUUAUUUUCUUUAUUUGAUUUGUCAAUAUUAAAAUAUUAAAGUCUAUUAAUAUUAGAAAUUUUUUUUAUUGUGAUGUUAUUAAUAAUAUUUAUAAUCAUAUUUUAGUUUAUUUCUAUCAAUUAAUUUGUAUUCAAUACUUAUGUAAUGAUUUAUAUGAUAUUAGCACCAUUGAGCAUAAAAAUUGCUCAGCGCACGGUUUGUCUAUUUUUCUUUGCGUGGGUAGUUAGAUUCGCUAAAUCGUUGCAGUAGCAUCCGAAGAAUCGAAGUUCAGCUCAAACAAUGUUGGUGAGGAGUUUACUUUAUAGUUGAUGUAAAUGGCAUGUACUCAGGCUUGUAUAUAUAUAAUAUUAUGUCGUAAACUGAAUUUAAAUAUUUUCAUUAUGUUUUCUUUGCUAAUAUUUUAUAACUAAUGUUUUGGAUGAAAUAGUAAAGCGUAGAAAUAUAGUUUAUUGGUAUGUUUUGAGAAAUUGUAGUGCUGGGAAUUGAUUUGGGAGAUAAUUUGAAUGUGGAUAUUUUGUGAAAAUCUAAAUUUUGUAGGAGGUUUUAUGUAAAAUAGGCAGAAAUGCUGUCGAAAUUUUUAUAAAAUAAUUUUACCACUACGUUUCCUUAAAAAAAAGAUAGAAAAGUGAGUUGCUUCGGCAACGAAAUGUGACAUUUUAUAUUCGGAUCCAACAACUAGGUCGGGUAUAAGGUGUCACAAAACGCAUCCAUUGAGUACCCCGAUGGUUGUAUGAUCCUUGGAUUGAAUUUGUCCUUGUGAGAAUGAUGAAUAUUUUCUUGGUCUUGAAGCAUCAUAUCUAAAUAACAUUGAUGUAUCUUGCAAACAACACAAGACCUGAUAUAACUUUUGUUGUAAACUUGUUAGCAAGAUUUAGUUAUUCUCCAACACGUAGACAUUGGAAUGGAAUUAAACAUGUAUUCAGAUAUCUCAGAAUGACCAUUAAUAUGAGAUUAUUUUAUUCAAAUGAUUCAAAAUCUCUAUUAGUUGGCUAUGCUAAUGUUGGUUAUUUAUCGAAUCCACAUAAAGGUUGAUCUCAAACGGGAUAUUUAUUUGCAUGUGGGGGUACUGUCAUAUCAUGGCGUUCAACAAAGCAAACAUUAGCUGUCGCUUAUUCGAAUCAUGCAGAAAUAAUUGCAAUGCAUGAGGCACGUCGAGAGUGUGUUUGGUUAAGGUUAUUGACCCAACAUAUCCAGAAGAUAUGUAAUUUGCCUUCACAGAAAAAUAUGUCAACUAUCUUAUAUGAAGAUAAUGCAACAUGUAUAGUUCAAUUGAAGGGUGGUUACAUCAAAGGUGACAGAACGAAACAUAUUUUACCAAAAUAAUUCUUCACCCAUGAUCUUGAGAAAAGAGGUGAUAUAAAUGUCCAACAAAUUCAUUCUAAUGAUAAUUUAGCAGAUCUUUUUAUUAAGGCAUUGCCAACUUUAAUAUUUGAAAUACUACUACACAAGAUUGAAAUGCGUCGACUUAAAGAUUUAAUGUAAUGUUGCCAUAGGGGGAGUCUAAAAACAAGUUGUACUAUUUUCCUUUAACCAAGGUUUUGUCCCAUUGAAUUUUCCUAGUAAAGGUUUUUAAUGAGGCAGUUAUCACAAGUUGUACAAAUUAUUUCUUAAUGUGACAUGUACGAUAAAUAGUGUCAUGUCAACAUGAAGUAGACAUGAACUUCCAUGCAUGUUAUCACACUAACAUCGUUAAAAAAUUUUAUGUUUUAGACAAUAUUUCCAUUAAAAAAAAUCAAAAUGACACUUUGAAAGCUUAAUGGUCAGUUUUAACUCAAUAAAAAAUAAGAGCUAAAUUAGCAAAAAAAUAUCAACAUUAAAGGCUAAAUCUAUGAUUAUGCCUUUUUCAAACCAUAGUGAUAGUUUAUAUAAUAUGUUUAAGUAGUUCAUAAAUAAUUAAAAAUUAGUAAAACGAAAAAGAAUAGAUUUUUAAAUAAAAAUAAAUAUAUUCAUUAGUUGUAGAAAUGCAGAGUUGUAAAGAGAUUAUAAGAAACCAAGGUUUCACUAAGUAGUUAUAAAUGGUCUGAUUAAAAAAGGGGAGGGGAUAUAUUAAUGUAAUGAAAUGCAAUGAAUUUAUGCCAUUGUGGCUCAAAGCAUGAAUUCUUCCCUGGAAGACAUUAGUGUCAAAGAUAUUUAUAGGGGUAUAGGUUCCAGUUGGAGCUGCAGAAAUUCAGAUACAUGGAAAUGUAUGUACCUGAUGAGUAAUAUCCAACGGUUGGGGAAGAAAGAGCUUAUUCCAGGCAGGGAGGAAAAUGGGGGCAUCUUUCUUCUUUAUGUUAAAAGGGCAAUAACCACAAUUAUUCGAGGCAGGGAGGAAAAUGGGGACCCCUUUGGUUCAAAUCAGUGUUUAUUCAACUAUGAAGCUCCUGCUGAUGCAGUGUUAUAGGAUUUCUUGCUUGCAAACAGAAUCAAAUACAUAAUUGAUUAUGAAGCAACUUUUAAAGCAGGAAUAGAACUUUUUCAAAGUCAUUGCUAAAUGAUGACAUGAUAUACAGAAAUUGGAAAUAUUCUAUCCAUUUCCCAAAUACACCAUGGGUAAUAAAUAGGAUACUAUAUACAUAAUUGUCACCAUCCAUCUACCGAUAUUAAACCCAAGGAGAUUGUUAAGCACUGUCAAGCUUUCAUCUUCUCCCUUGUAACCCAUCAUCUACUGCAUUACAAUCCCAGGCUUUCAAUGUGCCCAGAACGGUUUAGCCGGAGUGCGCUUCAGUGCCUUCACUGCCAAAGGAUUGCCCUUGCUCUGCCAAACAAACAACUGUUAAAAACUUCAAUUGAAACAAAUAGAAUGAAAGGAUUGAUGACUUUGGACUCAAGCGUACCAUCAAGCAGGUGCCUUCAUGUAUGUUGCACACAGGGUAGUCAUGAGGGCAGCAGCUGUAGCGAUCUUCGCAGCACGUGGCAGCCUCGAGUGGGCAGCAUCCCCAAGCAAAGCAGUAGUUAUAGUACUCGUAUAUGCAGCAGCAGGUAUUGCUCUCGGGACAGGAAUAAUAACUAUCGCACACGGUCGGAGGUUUUAUAGGAGAUGGUGGAGACGGUCCGGGAUUGGGGGGAUUUUCACCUGUUUUGAUCGGAUAAGAGGCUUCCAUCGCGAUCCCACAUUUGCCAGUUACGGUAUUGGCCACAUUCCUUGCCAUCCUGAUAUAGCCUGCUUCUCCCCAGCUGCUUCCCCAUGAGUUCUUUACAAUCCAAUAGUCUUUACCUUUCUCUGUGCCAUAUCCAACAGCAGUGACACCGUGGUCUAGUUGUGUUCCACAUUUUCCAUCAAAUAUACCCUGGAAAAAACCGUAAAAAUGUCAUUUAUCGGACAGUGCUCGGACUUUGAU